rnacentral:tRNA from 1 species
GUCUCCGUAGCUCAGUUGGAUAGAGCGACAGCCUCCUAAGCUGUAGGCCGGGGAUUCGAAUUCCUCCGGGGACG